UACGUAGGGUGCAAGCGUUGUCCGGAAUUAUUGGGCGUAAAGAGCUCGUAGGCGGCUUGUCGCGUCGGCUGUGAAAACUCGGGGCUCAACCCCGAGCCUGCAGUCGAUACGGGCAGGCUGGAGUCCGGCAGGGGAGACUGGAAUUCCUGGUGUAGCGGUGAAAUGCGCAGAUAUCAGGAGGAACACCGGUGGCGAAGGCGGGUCUCUGGGCCGGAACUGACGCUGAGACGCGAAAGCGUGGGGAGCAAACAGG
rnacentral:rRNA from 1 species